ACAAAACAAAAAACCAUGAGUUUGAAGCAGCCCUCUCACCAGCGUGACGGGAUUUGCAGAGGAGGGGGGAGCCGUGGGGCGCUCGCUCGGUGCCUCAGCCGGAUUCCCACCGUCACCCCCCACCGAAACGCGCCCGAGCGGCGGUCACCCACACCCAGGCAAAACGCUCAGAGAAGCGACCUCACAGCCCCAGGCACAAACACCCCGAUUCCCCCGGCAGCCGCCCCUCCAAAGGGUCGCCCCGUCCCUCCCCAGGCUCGGCCGGCGGGUGCUGCCGGCUGGAGGUUUCCCCGCAGGUUUCCCCGCAGCGGGGCCCCUGCAGCUUGGCACUCCCGGUCUGUUUGGACUCGGUGUACUUAAGUUGGAGAAAGGGUCAGGAUUUCAGACUGAGUUUAGUAAUGAUCACAGUUACUGGCUCAGCAGAACUGACAGAAGUAAACAUUUGUUUUGCCAGUUAACUAAAUACAUAUGACUCAGGAGCUACACAGGCUCGUAUUCUGUACGACGUACAGUCUACACAUAGGAGCUUGCAUUGGGAUCGGCAAUAAUUCAGCAUGUCAACAGAUUCAGAUCUACAGCUGGGAUAAAUCAGGAGUUCACCGGACCUUUCUUUAGCUGAGAAUUGGGCCUUGCAAUCUCGUAGAGUCUGUAGGAAACUGGUAUGGACAGUCAUUUUACAAACUGAAUGAGAUGCAAAACAACUCCACCAUUAUGUGUGUUUCUGGAAAACAGCUCGAUACAUUUCAGUGACUAAGAAGAGGCCUAACCUGGGACCAUCACUACUGAACUGCAAACCAGUAAACAUUUUAUUCUCUGUCUCUGUAAAGAAACAGAUGAAUUUAAAAACUAAUUUCUGAAUAUCAUACUUGCUUCAAUUUAGAUGGUAUUAACGGAGUGGGUAAAAUUAAACUGAAGGGCAGUGUUUCCCUUCUGUUGUGAAGCUCUUAUAAACCCAUCUCAGCUUGCUAAAGUGGUUCUACCAACCUGUCCUUUAUAACUAUUAACUUAAUUAUUUUGUUUCUGGAUCCUGACAUUAUCUUCAAUCAGACUCUUCAUCAGCCCUUCAUCAAUUCAUUAUUUUUGUCCCAAAGAAUGCUGAAGAGCUCAAUUUUAAUUGUGUGGUAUCUUGAAAUUAAGUCACAUUUUAUAGAUUCUUGCUAAGCCAAAGGUCCCUCAGUUUCUCCUCUAGCCAGAUACUACCUGUUAGGUAUUUUCUGGUGCUAAUCCAGUUUCAGUGGCUGAUGAAAGACUUUAAAAACAUAUCCUGGAUAUGAAUGUCAGAACCUAAAAUCUUUUGAUGUUGUCUUCAGCGAUGAAAAGAUCUGUCCAAAACCAGAACAUAACAAUUCAGCAGAAGUAAACUCUUCUAUAAUGUAGUUGAUAGGCUUGAUCAUAGUGGUUGGAGGUACACAGACCUACUCUCCUGUUACACCUAUAUAUUCUUUCUUUUGAAUGCAGGAUAAUUCAGGUGUGGUUGAACCCUUCAUUAGAGAAACAGAAAAAGAGAAAAUACAAAGGAGAAAAUUGUAUGUUUUCUUAUCUUCCGUGGAACUUAAGCUGAUCUCCUGCUUGAGAAAGAAGGAUGGAAAUGGCAAUUUUGACAAGCGGCUUUUUUCUUCUGGCUGUCACUAUUUGUAAUGUGGCAGUAAUUGGAUUGCAGUGGUAAAUACUAGCAGCUCAAAGAGAAAGACAGCUCUAGCAUAAUUUAUUUUUUAAAAAUACUGUUUAUUUAGCCUUGUUUCUAUUUGUUUUCAGGCACAAUAUUAAAUAGUGAGAAAUCAAAAAGGCACAAAACCAUAAAAUAAAUUUGAGAGUCACACUAUUUGCUUAUUUUAGGUUAUACAAUUUAAGCUUCAGUUUUUCAGGACAUUCUGUAUAUCAGAUCUCCUAAGGCUGUGUAGAGCCUGCCUAAAGUCAGUUGACUUCUGCACAGGCGAGAGACUGUCCAUCAACCUGUUGUAGCUAGGGACUAUGUUCAUUAAAAAAAUAAAUAAAUAAAUAAAUAAGUAGUCACCUUUAGAAUUUUCUAAUGGAAUUAGGGGAAAAAAAAAAAAAAAAAGAUCUCCAGGUAGCCACUUUGAUUGUGUUUUUGUAACUUCUGUUGUGACUUUUACAAAUUUUAAGAUUAUUUAUGUUUCACUCUCAUAUAUACUCAGGCAGACCCACCUAUUUUAUGCCAGUCAUCCAUCCUCCACCAAAUUCCAGAAGGAGCAGUGUUAUCAUCUUCAGAUGUCGUGCUUUCAAGGGCUACAUACAAGCCAGAAGGGUCUUCAGGCACCUGUAGUCUGAUCAGCUAAUCCAGAUUUGCCAAGAAAAAUACCACCUUCUCUGAGAAACUUUCACAAAGUAGCAAAAUUCUGAAAAAAAUACUUAUCAGCCUUCCAAAAAAGAUGUUUUAUGCAUAUAUAUUAUAAACAAAAAAGGAGAGCACAAAACUUAAUGACAUACCCUCAGAUCUUUACUGAAAGCAUGUCUAAUUAACAUAAUUAAUAGUAAUGACCAUCAAUAUAGAACUCAACGAUUAAUAUCAUUCAACUACCAACAUUUCAAUUACAUUUAUCAUUUAUCUUUUUCUUUUCUGUCAGAAAGGUUUGAUAUAAAACAGUUUUUUCCUACCUCUUUGUUGAUUUCUUUCAGGUUAUGUACCAUUUCAAAUGCAGAAUGGUAUGAUACAGAAAGGCCUGCUUAGCAAUGCAUCUUUCCAUCUCUCUUCUGGCUUUGACUGCAGAGGAAAAUGGGUCAUCCCAAUUGGAGAUAUCAAACCCUACACCAAAAAAUAAUCUCCUCGCUGGUGUUCCUAAUUGCCACUCAUCCUCAGCCCCUCAAUCCUAAAAUAAUGCAGGAACAAGUGAUGAGGCUAGUGUAAUGACAGAUGUCCAUUUCUUGCUUGGUACUGCGUGUGUCUUGUGAAUGCCCUGACACAACAGCACAUACACGCGAGUUUACUAACAUUAUAACCACUUAGCACCUAAUCACAAAGUAUAUCUCAGGCCAAAAGUAUAAAUACAGUUAAAUAUUUAUACUUUUUUAAUCAGUAAACAGUAGGUGAUAACCAGUGGGAUGUGUGUGUAGCAGAUAAUUUGCUGCAAUACCCCUGAUGAUAGAUUACAGCAAACUAAAUUCAAAGAGUACAAAAAUAAAGUGAGAGAUAGGUUAGAUUUCAGAUGAAGUCAGUUGAUUUCUAAUAACUUAAAUCCUGCUUUGUGUGCCAGAAGCUAAGCCAUAAUGUUAUCAUUAUAUACAGACUUGAUAGAAGAAAGAACAGCAGCAGUAGUGAAGCAAGAAUUUGACUAUCGACUUCCAGGUGCAUGGAAUAACUCUAUGAUACAAUAGGAGUGGCCUUCAGUGCACAAAAUACUCAUGUACUAUGCAGUCAAUGAGACAGGGGAGGGAAAAAAUAAAUAUUUUUCAGUUAUUUCCAUUGCCAAUAAGGGAGUUUAAAAAAGAAUGUUUCAAAUAAAACAAAUACUUCAGAGUAAAUUGUAAUCUGAAUGUAUUUUUUCAGGCAGAUUUUCAGAAAUGAAGAGGGUUUUAUUGAAUGCUAAAACUAACUUACAGUCACCUGAGAAUAAGCAGUAUAAUUUACACAAAACAGUUUAGCACAAAAGGAUCCUCGGUCAAUGAUCCAACUUCUUUAGUAAGCAGACAUACAAUCAUUGGACUUCAAAAUUAUGUUAAUAAAUUAAUGAUCAAAUAUGAACUAUCAAGAUUGAGAUAGAUAUAAUUCAAGUUGUUUUUUUUUUCCUGGGAAAAAAAAAGGAAUUGAAAAUUUUAAUGUCAGUUUUGUAAUAGUAAAGAAUAAGCACCCUGGAGAACAAGAGAACUACUGUUUAAUUUCCUUUGUUACACUUGCAUUCAUUUUGAGUGCACAGAAAUUUUCCUGAAUAUGACUAUAUGCCAUGCCCUUUUCAGAUUUGCAAACACACUUCUAAACAACAGCAAGAACUGAAAAAUAUAACACACACAUACUAGAACUAUUCCAGAUUAGGAUUGAGAAUCAGUUCUUUUCUAAAGAAUCUAAAUGAAAAAUCUACAGAUUAAAAAAAAAUAAUAUUUGCUGCUAUAUAAGCAUAAAUGAAGGGAAAAUACUUUAUCAGAGAGUGUGGUAGUAUAGGAAUUACUAAAUAAGUUUUUCUUUCAGCUAGUUUUUUUUUUUUGUUCUCGUUGUUUUGUUCUGUGUUUUGUUGUUCAUUUUUUUCAAACAGCCUGCUAUAUAGGGCAUAGACAGGGGAUUCAAACAUUAAUUAUCCAUUGAGAUAAAAAUUCUAUUACUAGCUUAGAAUCAUUUUUACCUUGCGAGUACGAUAACAUUUGCAGAUUCAAAUUUGAUUGGAAGUGGUAGUUUUCAGAGUGAAGGCUAUUGUAUAAACUUCAUGAAUGUAAAACAACACCAGUAAGUAUUGCUUAAAUAAAUGUAACUUUGACCACAAUUUUGUAAAUAAACAACUGUUGAUACGAUCCUUUUCUUUUCCUACAGAACAAGCCUACUUUCUUCAAACAGUGCUUGACACAAAGAAAAACAGUGAGGGCGUAACGCUUCAGGUUAAUAAAACUAAAAGAUAGCAGCUGUAGCUGCCGCCUUGCACAGAGGCAAGAUACUGCUCCCUGCUGUAAGAAACUGCUUUGGAGCCUUAAUGUAAGAAUAACCAUUGUUUUCUGUGGAAAAGAGAAGCCAUAUCGAUUUUUCUUCAUUUACCCCAAACUGCUGUGUAAGCAUGUUGUUACAACAGAAAUGUACAUUGAAGCACAGUAGCUAUUAGAACUGUUUUAACAAAUGGAAGUGACAUACUAUUUUUCUAGAAACAAUGAGGCUGUCUACCUUGAGUAUACAUAGCAUAACUUAACUACCACAAAGCCAAGAAAAAGUUCUGUUUGAAAUUCACAACUCUUGCAUCAUCACAGAUCAAUUAUAACAAAACUAACCCAAUAAAAAUGCAGUGAAUCAUAACACAAAUGCAAGAUUUUUUGAAAGAAUGUAUUUUAGAGUUAGCUGACAGAAUGCAAGUCAGCUCUAAUGUAUAACUCUCACCUUAUCCGAGGUAUUGCAGAUGUGCGUUUUGUAUUUAGACUGCCUAGCAUGAAUGCUAGAAAAUGUUAUGCUUCAUUUUGCAAAGUACAGUGAUGUUUUAAAUAGUGAAUAAGGCUGCUGUGAUGUUUCUUAAACAAGUCCAUUCACUUGAGUGUGGGCUCUGGCUCCUUGAUAUCACCAGUAAAGUACCAGCUCCUAGAUGUACUAUGGAAUAGUUCCCUUAGAUCCUAUGGAGGACGUAGGUAGCGUCAGACCGCUGUUAUUUACCAUCCUGAUUUUACCUCUGUACAAACCAUUUACUGAAUGCUGCCACUAAGCAAUGAAGUGGUAAACAUAAAAAUGCUGCUCGGAGGCAGCUCUGCCUAAAAUGGUGGUGGGUGUGUGCUAUUCCAGGGUUUUUUGGUGCUAAUACAUUGAUAUUGAACACUGUCCUGCUUUGAGCCAGGAAUAACAAUAUGGUUAUAUUUAACAUCCUGAUUUUUUUUUUUUCUCUCAGCAUGUUUUUCAAACUGGUUUAAACAUACAUGCUGUUUUGAAAGAUGUGUUUACAUCUCUCUGGAAUUCUUCCCACCUUUUUCUGAUGACGUGGUGAUGUCGCUAGGUCUGUGUCUGCUGCAUUGUGAAAAGUAUCCAGGAAGUGAACCAUCGGGAGAAAAAGAAAAAAAAUUAAUCUUGUACAAGAAUAUGGGAAGCUGUGACUAGGUGCUGUUGUUUUGGAGGUUUUUUACUGUAAAUGUCAUACAGUUGAAGGCCCAUACUCAUUGGUAUGUUCAGCUGUUUUGUGCUGCUUCAAGUAAGCAAAACAGCUGUAAACCUAGUUUAGCUCUCCAAUUAAGCUGAAUUUAUGGCAUCUUUACAAUACCAGUGCACAACAAAGCAGCUGGAGACAUCAAGUAAUUCUGAUCCGAGCAAUCCCUUUUUAGGGCUUUAUUUGGCAUUCUUUAGUCAGGCAAAACUUUGCCAGUUUGCCUAAGAUUAAAUUUAGAGGCCUCUGAGAGGCCUCUGAAGAUUAAACAAAAUUAUACCAUAGAACACAUGUUCAUAAAUGCAUAGACUUUAGAUGUUUCAGUGUAACAUUAUAUUUUGAGCAGAUUAAUCCAAUUUGGGUGCCUAGUGAACUCAGAACUCUCACUAAUUUCUGUAAUUACCAGGAUUGCAUCUUCAUUAGUCUGUCCUCUUAACGUUGUUGCGUUUCAUUUUUUUUUCUGUUUUUGUUUGUUUGUUUGUUUUGUUUUUGUUUUUACAAAGAAGUAAAUUGAUUUUUCUUUCCAAAAUAAAUUUAAUAAUUGCAUUCUG